rnacentral:rRNA from 1 species
AAUUCAGAGAUGGAUUUGUGCCUUCGGGAACCGUGAGACAGGUGCUGCAUGGCUGUCGUCAGCUCGUGUUGUGAAAUGUUGGGUUAAGUCCCGCAACGAGCGCAACCCUUAUCCUUUGUUGCCAGCGAUUCGGUCGGGAACUCAAAGGAGACUGCCAGUGAUAAACUGGAGGAAGGUGGGGAUGACGUCAAGUCAUCAUGGCCCUUACGACCAGGGCUACACACGUGCUACAAUGGCGCAUACAAAGAGAAGCGACCUCGCGAGAGCAAGCGGACCUCAUAAAGUGCGUCGUAGUCCGGAUUGGAGUCUGCAACUCGACUCCAUGAAGUCGGAAUCGCUAGUAAUCGUGGAUCAGAAUGCCACGGUGAAUACGUUCCCGGGCCUUGUACACACCGCCCGUCACACCAUGGGAGUGGGUUGCAAAAGAAGUAGGUAGCUUAACCUUCGGGAGGGCGCUUACCACUUUGUGAUUCAUGACUGGGGUGAAGUCGUAACAAGGUAACCGUAGGGGAACCUGCGGUUGGAUCACCUCCUUACCUGAAAGAAGC